UGAGAACUUUAACAUGAGUAUGUUUUAUAAAGCAGGCAUGACCAAAACUAUAUUGAAUAUUACAAAAAAAGAGUUGAAUAAAUAACUCAUAGACUGUCUGGCUAUGAGCAAUACAAUUUCCUGGAACAAUAUAAUAAGAUAAAUUGCUUGCAAAAUGUAUCCUCUAUAACUGAAUGACAUACGUUGCUGAAUGGGGUUGUUAGCCAUAAAUAAAUUAAAAGUUUUCUUUCUGGCAAUGGAAAGUUGGUCCAGAAGUUCCUUAAGGUCUUAUCUAGAUUUGGAUAUAAAAACUUUUUAUGUGUUUGUGUUUAUCUAUAAACUAAGAUUUAGUAUGUAUUUUGUGUAUUAAGAAAUAUAUUGGUGAUCAUAUCUAUAUCUAUAGUUACAUCAAUCUGUCUAGUCCAAAAAGAGAUUGAAUAUUUGCUCUAAGGUCCUGCAUUAUAUGGAAAUGGUAGAUUUAGGAUUCAAACCCAGGCAAUGUAGCCCAAGGGCAUACCCCUCAGCCACCCAGCUCUCCUCCCUCUCUGAGUAACAAUGUGAUCACACUGUACACUAGGCUUGUAAAAGAUGGUUGUCUCUCCACUGUCUGUGAAAGGACUUGGUCAAGGGACAAUGUCUAAUAAAGUACUGAUUAAAUCAUGAAAGUGAAAGUAUUGUGAUAAAAAGAAUACCUUCCCCUACUAAUUUCUAUUAGAAAUAAGUGGUGCUCUGUCAAGACCAUUGUAGAGACUGUGUAUUUUGUUCAGGGUUCAUGCACAGGGCACAGAGAGGAGAGGGCAGCCAGGAGGACAGCUGGAGCUCCCCUUUGGGUCAGCUACAGUUUCAGUGUGGGAAGUAACUGCUUCAUUUUUACAUAAUUAAGAGAUGCUGUGUAAACAGCUUUUUUUCUACUUUCAGUUUUCCCAGCUAGUUUUGACUUGUCAGUUGACAGGGCAAUUCUACUUUUAUGAAUUUAUCCCAUUAAAAUAAUUUAGGAAAAGCAAAAUAGCUAUAUUCAUGAAGACACUGAAUAUAUCUUUAUUUGUAACAGAACAUAAGAAAGCAUUAGAAAAAGAAAGAAAAAACAGAUGUCUUAAGGUGGAAAAGGCACCUAUAUCAAACCCAUAAAUAUUAUGCAUAAUAUUAUUAACAAUUCUAAAUGUUCUCUGGAAAUAUGGAAAAUAUCUAAGUGUCACAAAAACAGCUCCGUACUAUUUGAAAACACCCAUUUAACACCUAUUAUAAU
rnacentral:lncRNA from 1 species